UACGUAGGGACCGAGCGUUGUCCGGAUUCAUUGGGCGUAAAGAGCUCGUAGGCGGUUUGUCGCGUCGAAUGUGAAAACCCGGGGCUCAACCCCGGGCCUGCAUUCGAUACGGGCAGACUAGAGUUCGGUAGGGGAGUCUGGAAUUCCUGGUGUAGCGGUGAAAUGCGCAGAUAUCAGGAGGAACACCGAUGGCGAAGGCAGCUCGCUGGGACGGUACUGACGCUGAGGCGCGAAAGCGUGGGGAGCAAACAGG
rnacentral:rRNA from 1 species